rnacentral:tRNA from 1 species
GCCGCUAUAACUCAGUUGGUAGAGUGUCUGGCUGUUAACCAGAUCGUCACAGGUUCGAGUCCUGUUGGCGGCGC